rnacentral:rRNA from 1 species
UACGUAGGGUGCGAGCGUUAAUCGGAAUUACUGGGCGUAAAGCGUGCGCAGGCGGUUUUGUAAGCCAGAUGUGAAAGCCCCGGGCUUAACCUGGGAAUGGCAUUUGGGACUGCAAGGCUUGAGUGCGGCAGAGGAGACUGGAAUUCCUGGUGUAGCAGUGAAAUGCGUAGAUAUUGGGAAGAACACCGGUGGCGAAGGCGGCAUCCUGGACCAAUACUGACACUGAGGAGCGAAAGCCAGGGGAGCAAACGGG